rnacentral:misc_RNA from 1 species
UAUAGGCAUAAGAUGACAAGAUUUCAACCACUAAAUAUCAUCUUCUUCUUCAACCUUCACCAUGGCCAAACCAUUGUUCUCUCCUUUCCUCCAUUGAUUUCCUUCUUCCAAGCUUUGAAUCCCUUCCAUUCUCACCAUAAUCUUCAGAAGUCCCUUCAUUAAAAUUUAUCCCUACACCUUGGGAAGUCAAUUGGCAACCAAGAAAGAGAAGAUUGGUGAAGUUUUAGCAACUUG